UACGGAGGGUGCGAGCGUUAUCCGGAUUCACUGGGUUUAAAGGGUGCGUAGGUGGGUUGGUAAGUCAGUGGUGAAAUCUCCGAGCUUAACUUGGAAACUGCCAUUGAUACUAUCAGUCUUGAAUAUUGUGGAGGUCAGCGGAAUAUGUCAUGUAGCGGUGAAAUGCUUAGAUAUGACAUAGAACACCAAUUGCGAAGGCAGCUGGCUACGCAUAUAUUGACACUGAGGCACGAAAGCGUGGGGAUCAAACAGG
rnacentral:rRNA from 1 species